rnacentral:rRNA from 1 species
UCGACGAUGAAGCCUAGCUUGCUAGGUGGAUUAGUGGCGAACGGGUGAGUAAUACGUGAGUAACCUACCUUUAACUCUGGGAUAAGCCUGGGAAACUGGGUCUAAUACCGGAUACGACCAAUCUCCGCAUGGGGUGUUGGUGGAAAGCGUUAUGUAGUGGUUAUAGAUGGGCUCACGGCCCAUCAGCUUGUUGGUGAGGUAACGGCUCACCAAGGCGACGACGGGUAGCCGGCCUGAGAGGGUGACCGGCCACACUGGGACUGAGACACGGCCCAGACUCCUACGGGAGGCAGCAGUGGGGAAUAUUGCACAAUGGGCGCAAGCCUGAUGCAGCGACGCCGCGUGAGGGAUGACGGCCUUCGGGUUGUAAACCUCUGUUAGCAGGGAAGAAGAGAGAUUGACGGUACCUGCAGAGAAAGCGCCGGCUAACUACGUGCCAGCAGCCGCGGUAAUACGUAGGGCGCGAGCGUUGUCCGGAAUUAUUGGGCGUAA